GAACUGAAGAGUUUGAUCAUGGCUCAGAUUGAACGCUGGCGGCAGGCCUAACACAUGCAAGUCGAGCGGUAGAGAGAAGCUUGCUUCUCUUGAGAGCGGCGGACGGGUGAGUAAUACCUAGGAAUCUGCCUGAUAGUGGGGGAUAACGUUCGGAAACGGACGCUAAUACCGCAUACGUCCUACGGGAGAAAGCAGGGGACCUUCGGGCCUUGCGCUAUCAGAUGAGCCUAGGUCGGAUUAGCUAGUUGGUGAGGUAAUGGCUCACCAAGGCUACGAUCCGUAACUGGUCUGAGAGGAUGAUCAGUCACACUGGAACUGAGACACGGUCCAGACUCCUACGGGAGGCAGCAGUGGGGAAUAUUGGACAAUGGGCGAAAGCCUGAUCCAGCCAUGCCGCGUGUGUGAAGAAGGUCUUCGGAUUGUAAAGCACUUUAAGUUGGGAGGAAGGGCAUUAACCUAAUACGUUAGUGUCUUGACGUUACCGACAGAAUAAGCACCGGCUAACUCUGUGCCAGCAGCCGCGGUAAUACAGAGGGUGCAAGCGUUAAUCGGAAUUACUGGGCGUAAAGCGCGCGUAGGUGGUUUGUUAAGUUGAAUGUGAAAUCCCCGGGCUCAACCUGGGAACUGCAUCCAAAACUGGCAAGCUAG
rnacentral:rRNA from 1 species